AUCACUUAGAAACACCGGUUCUAGUACGACCAUAGAAGUUAAGUAACGUCGAGCCUGGUCAGUACCUAGAUGGGUGACCGCUUGGGAAUAACAGGUGCUGCAAG